rnacentral:rRNA from 1 species
GUCCACGCCGUAAACUAUGGGUGCUAGCCGUCGGCAAGCAUGCUUGUCGGUGGCGCAGCUAACGCAUUAAGCACCCCGCCUGGGGAGUACGGUCGCAAGAUUAAAACUCAAAGGAAUUGACGGGGGCCCGCACAAGCGGUGGAGCAUGUGGUUUAAUUCGAUGCAACGCGCAGAACCUUACCAGCUCUUGACAUGCCUCGACGGUUUCCAGAAAUGGAAUCCUCCCAGCAAUGGGCGGGGACACAGGUGCUGCAUGGCUGUCGU